GGUACGUAGUUCGACUCCGUGGCUACGAGGACACGCUGGCGGACGUGCCUAAUACAUGCAAGUCGAGCGGACCGAACGAGAGCUUGCUCGUUGUUUGGUCAGCGGCGGACGGGUGAGUAACACGUGGGCAACCUGCCCGCAAGACCGGGAUAACUCCGGGAAACCGGAGCUAAUACCGGAUAACACCAAAGACCCGCAUGGGUCUUUGGUUGAAAGGCGGCUUCGGCUGCCACUUGCGGAUGGGCCCGCGGCGCAUUAGCUAGUUGGUGAGGUAACGGCUCACCAAGGCGACGAUGCGUAGCCGGCCUGAGAGGGUGACCGGCCACACUGGGACUGAGACACGGCCCAGACUCCUACGGGAGGCAGCAGUAGGGAAUCUUCCGCAAUGGACGAAAGUCUGACGGAGCGACGCCGCGUGAGCGAAGAAGGCCUUCGGGGUCGUAAAGCUCUGUUGUGAGGGACGAAGGAGCGCCGUUUGAAUAAGGCGGCGCGGUGACGGUACCUCACGAGAAAGCCCCGGCUAACUACGUG
rnacentral:rRNA from 1 species